UAUAAAUGCUCAGUUGGUGGAGCAUGACACUCUUAAUCUCAGGGUUGUGGGUUUGAGCCCCACGCCGUGCAAAA